rnacentral:rRNA from 1 species
AUUGAACGCUGGCGGCAGGCCUAACACAUGCAAGUCGAGCGGCUGAAGGGAGCUUGCUCCUGGGUCCAGCGGCGGACGGGUGAGUAAUGCCUAGGAAUCUGCCUGGUAGUGGGGGAUAACGUCCGGAAACGGGCGCUAAUACCGCAUACGUCCUGAGGGAGAAAGUGGGGGAUCUUCGGACCUCACGCUAUCAGAUGAGCCUAGGUCGGAUUAGCUAGUUGGUGGGGUAAAGGCCUACCAAGGCGACGAUCCGUAACUGGUCUGAGAGGAUGAUCAGUCACACUGGAACUGAGACACGGUCCAGACUCCUACGGGAGGCAGCAGUGGGGAAUAUUGGACAAUGGGCGAAAGCCUGAUCCAGCCAUGCCGCGUGUGUGAAGAAGGUCUUCGGAUUGUAAAGCACUUUAAGUUGGGAGGAAGGGCAGUAAGUUAAUACCUUGCUGUUUUGACGGUACCAACAGAAUAAGCACCGGCUAACUUCGUG